rnacentral:tRNA from 1 species
GGUUGUGGCUCAGAGGUAGAGCGCUUACCUGGCAUGCAUGAGGCACUGAGUUCAAUCCUCAGCACUG